rnacentral:rRNA from 1 species
CAAUAGCGUAUAUUAAAGUUGUUGCGGUUAAAAGCUCGUAGUUGGAUUUUGGGGCCUCUACCGUCGGUCCGGCGUAAGCCGCGAACUGAUAGUUGGGCUCUUCUGUCUGGAGACGGUGUGCUUCUUCUUCAUUGAUGGGCGCAACGGAUCUAGGACCUUUACUUUGAACAAAUUAGAGUGUUUAAAGCAGGCCUUCGCCUGGAUACAUUAGCAUGGAAUAACCGAAUAGGACUUUGGUUCUAUUUUGUUGGUUUUAAGGUACCGAAGUAAUGAUUAAUAGGGAUAGUUGGGGGCAUUAAUAUUUAAUUGUCAGAGGUGAAAUUCUUAGAUUUAUGAAAGAUUAACUUCUGCGAAAGCAUUUGCCAAGGAUGUUUUCAUUAAUCAAGAACGAAAGUUAGGGGAUCGAAGAUGAUUAGAUACCAU